CCUACGGGAGGCUGCAGUAGGGAAUAUUGGGCAAUGCCCGCAAGGGUGACCCAGCCAUGCCGCGUGCAGGAAGAAGGCCUUCUGGGUUGUAAACUGCUUUUGGAAGAGAACAAAAAGACACUGCGGUGUAAAUUGAGUGUAUCUUCAGAAUAAGCACCGGCUAACUCCGUGCCAGCAGCCGCGGUAAUACGGAGGGUGCAAGCGUUGUCCGGAUUUAUUGGGUUUAAAGGGUGCGUAGGCGGCUUAUUAAGUCAGGGGUGAAAGACUGCAGCUUA
rnacentral:rRNA from 1 species